rnacentral:rRNA from 1 species
AGAGUUUGAUUUUGGCUCAGGAUGAACGCUAGCGACAGGCUUAACACAUGCAAGUCGAGGGGCAGCGGGGGCGAAGCUUGCUUCGCCUGCCGGCGACCGGCGCACGGGUGAGUAACACGUAUGCGACCUGCCCCCCGCAGGGGGAUAACCGGGAGAAAUCCCGACUAAUACCGCGUAACGCCGCUGGGCUGCAUGGCCCGGCGGCCAAAGGAAGCGAUUCCGGCGGGGGAUGGGCAUGCGGCGCAUUAGCUAGUCGGCGGGGUAACGGCCCACCGAGGCGACGAUGCGUAGGGGUUCUGAGAGGAAGGUCCCCCACACUGGUACUGAGACACGGACCAGACUCCUACGGGAGGCAGCAGUGAGGAAUAUUGGUCAAUGGGCGGGAGCCUGAACCAGCCAAGUCGCGUGAGGGAAGACGGUCCUACGGAUUGUAAACCUCUUUUGCCGGGGAGCAACGGGGUCCUUGCGAGGGCCCGAUGAGAGUACCCGGAGAAAAAGCAUCGGCUAACUCCGUGCCAGCAGCCGCGGUAAUACGGAGGAUGCGAGCGUUAUCCGGAUUUAUUGGGUUUAAAGGGUGCGUAGGCGGGCUGUUAAGUCAGCGGUCAAAUGUCGGGGCUCAACCCCGGCCUGCCGUUGAAACUGGCGGCCUCGAGUGGGCGAGAAGUAUGCGGAAUGCGUGGUGUAGCGGUGAAAUGCAUAGAUAUCACGCAGAACUCCGAUUGCGAAGGCAGCGUACCGGCGCCCGACUGACGCUGAGGCACGAAAGCGUGGGUAUCGAACAGGAUUAGAUACCCUGGUAGUCCACGCAGUAAACGAUGAAUGCUAGCUGUCCGGUUCUACGGGACUGGGUGGCACAGCGAAAGCGUUAAGCAUUCCACCUGGGGAGUACGCCGGCAACGGUGAAACUCAAAGGAAUUGACGGGGGCCCGCACAAGCGGAGGAACAUGUGGUUUAAUUCGAUGAUACGCGAGGAACCUUACCCGGGCUCAAACGCCAAAGGACAGCCGUUGAAAGGCGGCCUCCCUCCGGGGUCUUUGGCGAGGUGCUGCAUGGUUGUCGUCAGCUCGUGCCGUGAGGUGUCGGCUUAAGUGCCAUAACGAGCGCAACCCCCAUCGACAGUUGCUAACGGGUAGAGCCGAGGACUCUGUCGAGACUGCCGGCGCAAGCUGCGAGGAAGGCGGGGAUGACGUCAAAUCAGCACGGCCCUUACGUCCGGGGCGACACACGUGUUACAAUGGCCGGUACAGCGGGAUGCCAGGGCGCGAGCCCGAGCGGAACCCGAAAACCGGUCUCAGUUCGGAUUGGAGUCUGCAACCCGACUCCAUGAAGCUGGAUUCGCUAGUAAUCGCGCAUCAGCCACGGCGCGGUGAAAACGUUCCCGGGCCUUGUACACACCGCCCGUCA